rnacentral:rRNA from 1 species
UAAAGCCGGGGACCGAAAGGCCUGGCGCUUCGCGAUAAGACCCGCGGCCUAUCAGCUAGUUGGCGGGUAAAAGCCCACCAAGGCUAAGACGGGUAGCUGGUCUGAGAGGACGACCAGCCACACUGGAACUGAGACACGGUCCAGACACCUACGGGUGGCAGCAGUCGAGAAUUUUUCACAAUGGGCGAAAGCCUGAUGGAGCGACGCCGCGUGGGGGAUGAAGGGCUUCGGCUCGUAAACCCCUGUCAUUUGCGAACAAAGGCGCCAACCUAACACGUUGUUGUCUGAUAGUAGCAGAAGAGGAAGGGACGGCUAACUCUGUGCCAGCAGCCGCGGUAAUACAGAGGUCCCAAGCGUUGUUCGGAUUCACUGGGCGUAAAGGGUGCGUAGGUGGUGGAUUAAGUCGGGUGUGAAAUCUCCGGGCUCAACCCGGAGCGUGCGCCCGAAACUGAUCCGCUAGAGGAUAGGAGGGGAGACUGGAAUUCUCGGUGUAGAGGUGAAAUUCGUAGAUAUCGAGAGGAACACCGGUGGCGAAGGCGG